rnacentral:rRNA from 1 species
ACGGAAGGCAGCAGUGGGGAAUAUUGCACAGUGGGCGCAAGCCUGAUGCAGCAACGCCGCGUGAGGGAAGACGGUCUUCGGAUUGUAAACCUCUGUCCUUGGUGACGAAGAAUGACGGUAGCCGAGGAGGAAGCCACGGCUAACUACGUGCCAGCAGCCGCGGUAAUACGUAGGUGGCAAGCGUUGUCCGGAUUUACUGGGUGUAAAGGGCGCGCAGGCGGGAAAGCAAGUCAGCUGUGAAAUAUAUAGGCUUAACCUGUAGACUGCAGUUGAAACUGUUUUUCUUGAGUGGAGUAGAGGUAAGCGGAAUUCCGAGUGUAGCGGUGAAAUGCGUAGAGAUUCGGAGGAACACCAGUGGCGAAGGCGGCUUACUGGGCUCUAACUGACGCUGAGGCUCGAAAGUGUGGGGAGCAAACAGGAUUAGAUACCCUGGUA